AUGGUUAGGUUUGGGAAAAAGUUGACGGCCGGCCAAGUUCCAAAGUGGAGAGGUUACUAUAUAAAUUACAAGCUGAUGAAGAAGAAAGUAAAACAAUAUGGGCAGCAGCUCCAACAGGGAGAGAAAGACCGUUGCCGUGUUCUCAAGCAUUUCUCAAAGAUGCUUGAUGAUCAGGUAGAAGAUAGCAACAGAGUGGGAAGGUUAAGACCUCACUGCCUGCUUCAACGAAGAGAUUUGAAGAGUUGCAAAAGUGGUCGUGUGAGCAGUGAGAGUGUAGCGACGUGUGGCUCAGGCUUGCUCUCUGUCGUUGGCAAUGACAACGUUCAGAUUCAGAUCUGGAGACUAGUGGGCAUCAAGGUUGUCCUGGGUGCCUCAUGGUGGCACGUGUGA
rnacentral:rRNA from 1 species